rnacentral:tRNA from 1 species
UAGGACGUAGCUUAAAAGUAAAGCCUCUCUUUUACACUGAGAAAAUACCUGUGCAAAUCAAGUCGCCCUAA